rnacentral:rRNA from 1 species
AACCUCCAACCCGUGUUUAUCAUACCUAGUUGCUUCGGCGGGCCCGCCGUCAGGCCGCCGGGGGGCAUCCGCCCCCGGGCCCGCGCCCGCCGAAGCCCCCCCCUGAACGCUGUCUGAAGAUUGCAGUCUGAGCGAUUAGCUAAAUCAGUUAAAACUUUCAACAACGGAUCUCUUGGUUCCGGCAUCGAUGAAGAACGCAGCGAAAUGCGAUAAGUAAUGUGAAUUGCAGAAUUCAGUGAAUCAUCGAGUCUUUGAACGCACAUUGCGCCCCCUGGUAUUCCGGGGGGCAUGCCUGUCCGAGCGUCAUUGCUGCCCUCAAGCACGGCUUGUGUGUUGGGCCCCCGCCCCCCGGCUCCCGGGGGGCGGGCCCGAAAGGCAGCGGCGGCACCGCGUCCGGUCCUCGAGCGUAUGGGGCUUCGUCACCCGCUCUGUAGGCCCGGCCGGCGCCCGCCGGCGACCCCCCUCAAUCUUUCUCAGGUUGACCUCGGAUCAGGUAGGAUACCCGCUGAAA